UACGGAGGGGGCUAGCGUUGUUCGGAAUCACUGGGCUUAAAGCGUGUGUAGGCGGAUCGUUAAGUACCUUGUGAAAUCCCACGGCUCACCCGUGGAACUGCUCGGUAUACUGGCGGUCUUGAGCCACUUAGGGGCUGUCGGAACAGACGGUGGAGCGGUUAAAUGCGUAGAUAUCGUCUGGAACGCCAAUGGUGAAAACAGACAGCUGGGAGUGUGCUGACGCUGAGACACGAAAGCCAGGGGAGCGAACGGG
rnacentral:rRNA from 1 species